UGGGGGAUAUUGCACAAUGGGCGAAAGCCUGAUGCAGCGACGCCGCGUGGGGGAUGAAGGCUUUCGGGUUGUAAACCUCUUUCGCUAUCGAACAAGGCCCGCUUAGGGUGGGUUGAGGGUAGGUGGAGAAGAAGCGCCGGCUAACUACGUGCCAGCAGCCGCGGUAAUACGUAGGGCGCGAGCGUUGUCCGGAAUUAUUGGGCGUAAAGGGCUUGUUGGCGGCUUGUUGCGCCUGCUGUGAAAACGCGGGGCUUAACUUCGCGCGUGCAGUGGGUACGGGCAGGCUUGAGGGUGGUAGGGGUGACUGGAAUUCCAGGUGUAGCGGUGGAAUGCGCAGAUAUCUGGAGGAACACCGAUGGCGAAGGCAGGUCACUGGGCCAUUACUGACGCUGAGGAGCGAAAGCAUGGGUAGCGAACAGG
rnacentral:rRNA from 1 species